rnacentral:rRNA from 1 species
GCAGUCGAACGGUGAAAGAGGAGCUUGCUCCUCUGGAUCAGUGGCGAACGGGUGAGUAACACGUGAGUAACCUGCCCCAGACUCUGGGAUAAGCACUGGAAACGGUGUCUAAUACCGGAUACGAGCUUCAGCCGCAUGGCUAGGAGCUGGAAAGAAUUUCGGUCUGGGAUGGACUCGCGGCCUAUCAGCUAGUUGGUGAGGUAAUGGCCCACCAAGGCGACGACGGGUAGCCGGCCUGAGAGGGUGACCGGCCACACUGGGACUGAGACACGGCCCAGACUCCUACGGGAGGCAGCAGUGGGGAAUAUUGCACAAUGGGCGCAAGCCUGAUGCAGCAACGCCGCGUGAGGGACGACGGCCUUCGGGUUGUAAACCUCUUUUAGUAGGGAAGAAGCGAAAGUGACGGUACCUGCAGAAAAAGCACCGGCUAACUACGUGCCAGCAGCCGCGGUAAUACGUAGGGUGCAAGCGUUAUCCGGAAUUAUUGGGCGUAAAGAGCUCGUAGGCGGUUUGUCACGUCUGCUGUGAAAACUGGAGGCUCAACCUCCAGCCUGCAGUGGGUACGGGCAGACUAGAGUGCGGUAGGGGAGAUUGGAAUUCCUGGUGUAGCGGUGGAAUGCGCAGAUAUCAGGAGGAACACCAAUGGCGAAGGCAGAUCUCUGGGCCGUAACUGACGCUGAGGAGCGAAAGC